rnacentral:rRNA from 1 species
UACGUAGGGUGCAAGCGUUAAUCGGAAUUACUGGGCGUAAAGCGUGCGCAGGCGGUUCGUUGUGUCGGCGGUGAAAGCCCCGGGCUUAACCUGGGAAUGGCCGUCGAAACUGGCGAACUGGAGUGUGGCAGAGGGGGGUGGAAUUCCGCGUGUAGCAGUGAAAUGCGUAGAGAUGCGGAGGAACACCGAUGGCGAAGGCAGCCCCCUGGGCUAACACUGACGCUCAGGCACGAAAGCGUGGGGAGCAAACAGG